UCUAGAUUAGAGUUUGAUCCUGGCUCAGGACGAACGCUGGCGGCGUGCUUAACACAUGCAAGUCGAACGCGAAAGCCCCUUCGGGGGCGAGUAGAGUGGCGAACGGGUGAGUAACACGUGGGCAACCUGCCCCAUGGAGCGGGACAACCCGAGGAAACUCGGGCUAAUACCGCAUGAUUCGCCGGCACUCAAGUGCCGGCGGGAAAUGGUAGCUUCGGCCUCCGCCAUGGGAUGGGCCCGCGGCGCAUUAGCUUGUUGGUGAGGUAAUGGCUCACCAAGGCGACGAUGCGUAGCUGGUCUGAGAGGACGAUCAGCCACACUGGGACUGAGACACGGCCCAGACUCCUACGGGAGGCAGCAGUGGGGAAUCUUGCGCAAUGGGCGGAAGCCUGACGCAGCAACGCCGCGUGUGGGAAGACGGCCUUCGGGUUGUAAACCACUUUCAGGGGGGACGAAGCUUCCAGGGUUAAUAGCCCAUGGGGUGACGGUACCCCCAGAAGAAGCCCCGGCUAACUACGUGCCAGCAGCCGCGGUAAUACGUAGGGGGCGAGCGUUGUCCGGAAUCAUUGGGCGUAAAGCGCGUGUAGGCGGCUCGUUAAGUCCGGUGUGAAACCUUGGGGCUCAACCCCAAGCCUGCACUGGAUACUGGCGAGCUCGAGUCCGGGAGGGGAGAGCGGAAUUCCUAGUGUAGCGGUGAAAUGCGCAGAUAUUAGGAAGAACACCGGUGGCGAAGGCGGCUCUCUGGAACGGUACUGACGCUGAGACGCGAAAGCGUG
rnacentral:rRNA from 1 species